rnacentral:lncRNA from 1 species
GUUUAAAUUGAGCCUAUCCAACGUGUUUAACCAGCCAACGUGUUUAACCAACGUGUUUAACCAACGUGUUUAACCAACGUGUUUAACCAACCAACCAACCAACCAACCAACCAACCAAUCAAUCAAUGCAUGUUUCCGUUUCAUGUGUUAAAUACGGGAUCCAAGAUGUUUUUUUCGCUUGUUUAAAUUGAGCCUAUCUAACGUGUUUAACCAGCCAACGUGUUUAACCAACGUGUUUAACCAACAUGUUUAACCAACCAACCACAACCAACCCUAAUCCAAUCAAUCAAUCAAUCAAUGCAUGUUUCCGUUUCAUGUGUUAAAUACGGGAUCCAAGAUGGGUUUUUUUUCGCUUGUUUAAAUUGAGCCUCUCCAACGUGUUUAACCAGCCAACGUGUUUAACCAAUAUGUUUAACCAAGGUGUUUAACAAUGUUUAACCAACAUGUUUAACCAACGUGUUUAACCAACCAACCAACCAACCAAUCAAUGCAUGUUUCCGUUUCAUGUGUUAAAUACGGGAUCCAAUUUUGAGCCUAAUCCAAUUGUGUUUAACCAACGUGUUUAACCAACGUGUUUAACCAACCAACCAACCAACCAACCAACCAACCAAUCAAUCAAUGCAUGUUUCCGUUUCAUGUGUUAAAUACGGGAUCCGAGAUGGUUUUUUUUUUUCGCUUGUUAAAAUUGAGUCUAUCAAACGUGUUUAACCAGCCAACGUGUUUAAACUACGUGUUUAACCGACAUGUUUAACCAACAUGUUUAACCAACGUGUUUAACCAACCAACCAACCAACCAACCAACCAAUAAAUAAAUCAAUGCAUGUUUCCGUUUCAUGUGUUAAAUACGGGAUCCAAGAUGGUUUUUUUUUCGCUUGUUUAAAUUGAGCCUAUCAAACGUGUUUAACCAGCCAACGUGUUUAACCAACGUGUUAAACCAACAUGUUUAACCAACGUGUUUAACCAACCAACCAACCAACCAACCAAUCAAUCACUUAAUGUAUGUUUCCGUGUCAUGCGUUUAAUACGGGAUGCAAGGUCUCUUGAGGUCUUUUUCCCCUUGUUCUAAGUGACCCUAUCAAACGUGUGUUUAAUCAACCAACCAACAAACCAACCAACCAACCAAUCAAUCAACCAACUAAUCAAUCAAUCAAUAUGUAUGACUGUUUAUUUAUGACAGUUUAUUGAAGGAACAAACUCUCAAUUAUUCAAGAAAAUUUUUAUUUUAUUAUUGUUCUUACGUCUCUUCUGAAAAAAAAAUCCACAUAUUCUCUGAAACUACAAGUCCAAUCGACCUGAAAAUUUGCAGUCAGCAGGGCAUACAUGUACUGAAGGUUCAUAAAAAAACUUUUUGCAGAUAUCUCUCAAGACUUUUCCUAGAAAAAAGAAAUGGCAAUGCAGUAAAAAUCGCUUGCUAGGUCCGUCAAUCUCAGUAAAAACCUACAAUAAAAUGUCCGCUCCGAGAUUGAAAUACUAAUCUGUGUUACAAACAGGUGCUGAAAAAUGGACAUUAUCAAAAAAUAAUCAUUAAAUGUGUUUUAAAGUUACACCGGAUCAAUUAAAUCCAAAACAUGCACUGCUGGUGAACUGUGAUCAAAAUGUCAAUUUCCUACAAUGACAAAAGAAAUUACAUUGUGUACAUUCCAUCUCUAUACAUGUUGUCUGUUCAAGGUCCCGACCUAAAAAGAAAUAAAAAGACUAAGUUUUUCUUAAUAUAAACCCGCGUCACGUGAUGUCUCCUCAAUCUUGCGCGCGCGCUGUAUCUAAAAUAAAAGAAAAACUUUCCAAACUAAACAUGAAACUUCUCCGGUAACAUAAUAAUAUAGACCCCAUACCAAAGCAAACAAACAAACAAAAAAACAAAUACCCCCCCCCCCUUUUUUUCCAAAUCAAUCAAUAAAAAAAAUCAAUUAUCCAUUCAUCAGAGGGGAAAGACUGCCUAACAAUUGUUUUUCAAAACAAUUGCUUUAUAUUUAUUAUUAUUAAGUCUUUCCACUUUUCUGUGGAAAGACUUAUUGUAUUUGUUCUGAUUAUUAUGCUUUUAUUGGAAAGACUUAUUUAUUUGUUCUUAUUAUUAUUAUUAUUAUUAUUUUUUUUUUUUUCCGCCAACUUUUGUUCUUGCGAUAAAUGUUUGUUUCGCAAUAUGUCGCUUAGAUAUUUCUCAUAUUGUAUCGUAUAGUUUAUGCGCUUUUAAAUUUCACCCUGCUAAGACGAACAAUUUUCUCUGUAAGAGUUAUCUCCCUAUUCACUGUUUAUCAUGUGUGUGCAUCUCCUUCGUAACAAAAAAAGAUAGCGACAAAAUUCUUUUUACAAAUUGUUCGUUACAUCCUCAGAAAAUUUUGGCUAAUUUGGAUCGAAGCGAUUCGAUGAAAUUUUAUAGGAGUUAUCUAUCUUUACGGAAUAAAUUUGUCGGUAUGUUUUUUUAACUCAUAAACCGUUAACCGUAUAACCCUGGAAUGUUUUUAUUUGAGUCCCCUGAUUCCUAACUUAGAAAAUUAGGUCAAGGUCAAAGGUCAAGGUCAUAUUUUAGAUUUUCAUAUGUCUUUGAUUUCCCUAUAAUUCUUGAAUGGUUAUAGAUACAGAAAAUUUAAGCAGUGAAAAAUGUUAAGUACUUCAAGGGGCAACUUUUUUACAUUAUGACUAUAUUGAUUUUACCAUCAUGUAAGGGACAUAACUCCCAUCGAUGGUUUUUAAAAAGCCAUAUUUAGGCAAAACUCUUAAACAAAGGUCCUUGACCCAUAGGGUCUUUUGCAAUGACAAACGCCGCGUCACGGAUGUCUCCUCAAUCUUGGCGCGCGCUGUAUCUAAAUAAAAGAAAAACUUUCCAAACUAAACAUGAAACUUCUCCGGUAACAUAAUAAUUAGACCCAUACCAAGCAAACAAACAAACAAAUAAACAAAUACCCCCCCCCCCUUUUUCCAAAUCAAUCAAUAAAAAAAAUCAUUAUCCAUUCAUCAGAGGGAAAGACUGCCUAAAAAUUGUUUUCAAAACAAUUGCUUUAUAUUANNNNNNNNNNNNNNNNNNNNNNNNNCUGUGAGCAAUGACCUUGACGAAGGUCACAAAGGUCAAAGGUCACGGUCAUCAAAUUAUUGGUUUGCACUAUUAUAAACAGUUUUAAUGUGUGUUUUUGAAUUUCAACAACCCAACCAACCAACGCAACCACCACCAACCACACGCAAACUCAAUCAACCACCAACGACCAACCAACCACCAACCAACCAACCAACCAACCAACCAACACCACAAUCAAUCAAUCAAUCAUCAAUCAAUCAAUGUUUCCGUUUCAUGUGUUUGAUACGGGAUUCAACGUCUCUUUUUUUUCGCGUUGUUUUAAUUGAGGCCUAUCAAAACGUGUUUAAAACCAACAUGUUUAACAAAUAUGUUUAACUAACGUGUUUAACCAAGUGUUUAACCAACAACCACCCAACCAACCAACCCCCCCAAUAAUACCAAUCAAUCAAUCAUGCAUGUUUCCGUUUCAUUGUGUUAAAUACGGGAUCAAGAUGUUUUUGUUUUGCUCGUUUAAAUUGAGCGCCUAUCUAACGUGUUUAACCAGCCAACGUGUUUAAACCAACGUGUUUAACCAACAUGUUUAACCAACCAAACCACCACCCCACCCAACCACAAUCAAUCAACAUCAAUCAAUCAAUGCAUGUUUCCGUUUCAUGUGUUAAAUACGGGAUCCAAGAUGGUUUUUUUUCGCUCGUUUAAAUUGAGCCCUAUCUAACGUGUUAACCAGCCAACGUGUUUAAACACAACGUGUUUAACCAACAUGUUUAACCAACGUGUUUAACCACUACCAACCAACCAACCAAUCACACAACAACAUCAAUGCAUGUUUCGUUUCAUGUGUUAAAUACGGGAUCCAAGAUGGUUUUUUUCGCUUGUUUAAAUUGAGCCUAUCUAACGUGUUUAACCAGCCAACUUGUUUAACCAACGUGUUUAACCAACAUGAUUAACUAACCAACCAACCACCUAACCGAAUCAAUCAAUCAAUCAAUGCAUGUUUCCGUUUCAUGUGUUAAAUACGGGAUCCAAGAUGUUUUUUUCGCUUGUUUAAAUUGAGCCUCUCCAACGUGUUUAACCAGCCAACGUGUUUAACCAAAUAAAUACAUAACCAACGUGUUUAACCAACCAAAACCAACCAAUCAAUGCAUGUUUGUUUCAUGUGUUAAAUACGAUCCAAUUUUGAGUAUCCAAUGUGUUUAACCAACGGGUUUAACCAACGUGUUUAACCAACCACCAACCAACCAACCAACCAAUCCAAUGCAUGUUUCCGUUUCAUGUGUUAAAUACGGGAUCCGAGAUGGUUUUUUUUCGCUUGUUAAAAUUGAGUCUAUCAAACGUGUUUAACCAGCCAACGUGUUUAAACUACGUGUUUAACCGACAUGUUUAACCGACAUGUUUAACCGACAUGUUUAACCAACGUGUUAACCAACCAACCAACCAACCAACCAAUAAAUAAAUCAAUGCAUGUUUCCGUUUCAUGUGUUAAAUACGGGACCAAGAUGGUUUUUUUCGCUUGUUUAAAUUGAGCCUAUCAAACGUGUUUAACCAGCCAAGUGUUUAACCAACGUGUUAAACCAACAUGUUUAACCAAGUGUUUAACCAACCAACCAACCAACCAUCAACAUUAAUGUAUGUUUCCGUGUCAUGCGUUUAAUACGGAUGCAAGGUCUCUUGAGGUCUUUUUCCCCUUGUUCUAAGUGACCCUAUCAAACGUGUUUAAUCAACCAACCAACAAACAACCAACCAACCAAUCAAUCAACAAAUCAAUCAAUCAAUAUGUAUGACUGUUUAUUUAUGAAGUUUAUUGAGGAACAAACUCUCAUUAUUCAAGAAAAUUUUUAUUUUAUUAUUGUUCUUACGUCUCUUCUGAAAAAAAAUCCACAUAUUCUCUGAAACUACAAGUCCAAUCGACCUGAAAAUUUGCAGUCAGCAGGGCAUACAUGUACUGAAGGUUCAUAAAAAAACUUUUGCAGAUAUCUCUCAAGACUUUUCCUAGAAAAAAGAAAUGGCAAUGCAGUAAAAAAUCGCUUGCUAGGUCGUCAAUCUCAGUAAAAAACCUACAAUAAAAUGUCCGCUCCGAGAUUGAAAUACUAAUCUGUGUUACAACAGGUGCUGAAAAAUGACAUAUCAAAAAAUAACAUUAAAUGUGUUUUAAAGUUACCCGAUCAAUUAAAUCCAAAACAUGCACUGCUGUGAACUGUGAUCAAAAUGUCAAUUUCCUACAAUGACAAAAGAAAUUACAUUGUGUCAUUCCAUCUCUAACAUGUUGUCUGUUAAGGUCCGACCUAAAAAGAAAUAAAAAGACUAAGUUUUUCUUAAUAUAAACCCGCGUCACGUGAUGUCUCCUCAUCUUGCGCGCGCGCUGUAUCUAAAAUAAAAGAAAAACUUUCCAAACUAAACAUGAACUUCUCCGGUACAACAUAUAAUAAACCCAUACCAAGCAAACAAACAAACAAAAAAAACAAAUACCCCCCCCCCCUUUUUUCCAAAUCAAUCAAUAAAAAAAAUCAAUUAUCCAUUCAUCAGAGGGGAAAGACUGCCUAACAUUGUUUUCAAAACAAUUGCUUUAUAUUUAUUAUUAAGUCUUUCCACUUUUCUGUGGAAAGACUUAUUGUUGUUCUGAUUAUUAAGUUUAUUUUGUAUUAUUUAUUUGUUCUAUUAUUUUUUAUUUUUUUUCCGCCAACUUUUGUUCUUGCGAUAAAUGUUUGUUUCGCAAUAUGUCGCUUAGAUAUUUCUCAUAUUGUAUCGUAUAGUUUAUGCGCUUUAAAUUUCACCCUGCUAAGACCAAUUUUCUCUGUAAAGUUAUCUCCCUAUUCACUGUUUAUCAUGUGUGUGCAUCUCCUUCGUAACAAAAAAGAUAGCGACAAAAUUCUUUUUACAAAUUGUUCGUUACAUCUCAGAAAAUUUUGGCUAAUUUGAUCGAAGCGAUUCGAUGAAUUUUUAUAGGAGUUAUCUAUCUUUACGGAAUAAAUUUGUCGGUAUGUUUUUUAACUCAUAAACCGUUAACCGUAUAACCCUGGAAUGUUUUUUUUGAGUCCCCUGAUUCCUAACUUAGAAAAUUAGGUCAAGGUCAAAGGUCAAGGUCAUAUUUAGAUUUUCAUAUGUCUUUGAUUUCCCUAUAAUUCUGAAUGGUUAUAGAUACAGAAAAUUUAAGCAGUGAAAAUGUUAAGUACUUCAAGGGGCAACUUUUUACAUUAUGACUAUUUGAUUUUACAUUCAUGUAAGGGACAUAACUCCCAUCGAUGGUUUUUAAAAAAGCCAUAUUUAGGCAAAACUCUAAACAAAGGUCCUUGACCAUAGGGUCUUUGCAAUGACUGUGGAGCAAUGACCUUGACGAAGGUCACAAGGUCAAAGGUCAAGGUCAUCAAAUUAUGUGGUUUUGGCACUAUUUAAGCAGUUUUAUGUGUGUUUGAAUUUCAACCAACCAACCAACCAACCAACCAACCAAUCAAUCAAUCAAUCAAUCAAUCAAUCAAUCAACAAUCAAUCAAUCAAUCAAUCAAUGUUUCCGUUUCAUGUGUUUGAUACGGGAUUCAACGUCUCUUUUUUUUCGCUUGUUUUAAUUGAGCCUAUCAAACGUGUUUAACCAACAUGUUUAACAAAUAUGUUUAACUAACGUGUUUAACCAACGUGUUUAACCAACCAAUCAAUCAACCAACCAACCAACCAACCAACCAACCAACCAACCAAUCAAUCAAUCAAUCAAUGCAUGUUUCCGUUUCAUGUGUUAAAUACGGGAUCCAAGAUGUUUUUGUUUCGCUCGUUUAAAUUGAGCCUAUCUAACGUGUUUAACCAGCCAACGUGUUUAACCAACGUGUUUAACCAACAUGUUUAACCAACCAACCACCCAACCAACCAAUCAAUCAAUCAAUCAAUCAAUGCAUGUUUCCGUUUCAUGUGUUAAAUACGGGAUCCAAGAUGGUUUUUUUUCGCUCGUUUAAAUUGAGCCUAUCUAACGUGUUAACCAGCCAACGUGUUUAACCAACGUGUUUAACCAACAUGUUUAACCAACGUGUUUAACCAACCUACCAACCAACCAACCAACCAACCAACCAACCAACCAACCAACCAACCAACCAACCAACCAACCAAUCAAUGCAUGUUUGCGUUUCAUGUGUUAAAUACGGGAUCCAAGAUGUUUUUUUUCGCUUGUUUAAAUUGAGCCUAUCUAACGUGUUUAACCAGCCAGCGUGUUUAACCAACGUGUUUAACCAACUGUUUACCAACUCCAACACCAUCCAAUCAACUAACAAUCAAUCAAUCAAUGAUGUUUCCGUUUCAUGUGUUAAUCGGGGAUCCAAGAUGGUUUUUUUCGCUUAGUUUAAAUUGAGCCUAUCUAACAGUGUUUAAACGCCAGCCAAUUGUUUAACAACAGGUUUAACCAACGUGUUAACACAACAACUGUUUAACCACGCCAACCAAUCAAUCAAUCAAUCAAUGCAUGUUUCCGUUUCAUGUGUUAAAUACGGGAUCCAAGAUGGGUUUUUUUUCGCUUGUUUAAAUUGAGCCUCUCCAACGUGUUUAACCAGCCAACGUGUUUAACCAAUAUGUUUAACCAAGGUGUUUAACCAAUAUGUUUAACCAACAUGUUUAACCAACGUGUUUAACCAACCAACCAACCAACCAAUCAAUGCAUGUUUCCGUUUCAUGUGUUAAAUACGGGAUCCAAUUUUGAGCCUAUCCAAUGUGUUUAACCAACGGGUUUAACCAACGUGUUUAACCAACCAAC